rnacentral:rRNA from 1 species
UACGUAGGGUGCAAGCGUUAAUCGGAAUUACUGGGCGUAAAGCGUGCGCAGGCGGUUUUGUAAGACAGAUGUGAAAUGCCCGGGCUUAACCUGGGAACUGCAUUUGUGACUGCAAGGCUAGAGUGUGUCAGAGGGGGGUAGAAUUCCACGUGUAGCAGUGAAAUGCGUAGAUAUGUGGAAGAAUACCGAUGGCGAAGGCAGCCCCCUGGGAUAACACUGACGCUCAUGCACGAAAGCGUGGGGAGCAAACAGG